rnacentral:rRNA from 1 species
CUGACGGCUCAGUAACACGCGGCUUUUCUGCCCUUAGGUGGAGGAUAACCUCGGGAAACUGACAAUAAGACUCCAUAGAUCUAGGAGGCUGGAAUGCACUUAGAUUGAAAACUUCGGUGCCUAAGGAUGAGUCUGCGGACUAUCAGGUAGUAGUCAGGGUAAUGACCUGACCAGCCUACGACGGAUACGGGUUGUGAGAGCAAUAACCCGGAGAUGAUAUCUGAGACACGAUAUCAGGCCCUACGGGGCGCAGCAGGCGCGAAAACUUCGCACUGUGCGAAAGCACGACGAGGGAAUCCCAAGUGCUGGCUCGUAAGAGUCAGCUGUUUUUCUGUCUAGAAAACAGAGAGAGUAAGGGCUGGGUAAGACGGGUGCCAGCCGCCGCGGUAAUACCUGCAGCCCGAGUGGUGGCCGCUAUUAUUGGGCCUAAAACGUCCGUAGCCGGUCUAGUAAAUGCCUAGGUAAAUCGUACGGCUUAACCGUACGAAUUCUGGGUAGACUGCUGGACUUGGGACUGGGAGAGGCUAGAGGUACUCCUGGGGUAGAGGUGAAAUUCUGUAAUCCUAGGGGGACGACCAGUGGCGAAGGCGUCUAGCUAGAACAGGUCUGACGGUGAGGGACGAAGCCCUGGGGCGCAAACG